rnacentral:tRNA from 2 species
GCUGGGGUGGUGAAAUUGGUAUACACACUAGCUUUAGGAGCUAGCGCUCGCAAGAGCAUGGGAGUUCGAGUCUCCCUCCCAGCACCA